GCGGAAAUAGCUCAGUUGGUAGAGCAUAACCUUGCCAAGGUUAGGGUCGCGAGUUCGAGUCUCGUUUUCCGCUCUA
rnacentral:tRNA from 14 species